UUAUGGCUCAGGAUGAACGCUAGCGGCAGGCUUAACACAUGCAAGUCGAGGGGCAGCGGGAUGUAGCAAUACAUUGCCGGCGACCGGCGGAUGGGUGCGUAACGCGUAUGCAACCUACCUUAUACAGGGGAAUAACCUUUCGAAAGGGAGACUAACACCCCAUAGUAUUGAUUUAAGGCAUCUUAGAUUAAUUAAAUAUUUAUAGGUAUAAGAUGGGCAUGCGUAUGAUUAGCUAGUUGGUAAGGUAACGGCUUACCAAGGCGACGAUCAUUAGGGGUUCUGAGAGGAAGGUCCCCCACACUGGUACUGAGACACGGACCAGACUCCUACGGGAGGCAGCAGUGAGGAAUAUUGGUCAAUGGGCGCAAGCCUGAACCAGCCACGCCGCGUGCAGGGAAAGACGGCCUUAUGGGUUGUAAACUGCUUUUACAUAAGACUAACCGUAUAUUUGCGAAUAUACCUGAAUGUAUUAUGAGAAUAAGGAUCGGCUAACUCCGUGCCAGCCGCAGC
rnacentral:rRNA from 1 species